GGUGGAGUGGCCGAGAGGCGAGGCAACGGCUUGCAGGGCCGUGUACAUGGGUUCGAUUCCUGUCUCCACCUCC
rnacentral:tRNA from 1 species